UACUGGCUUAAAACAGCAGUUCUCGUACGAUCACCGAAGUUAAGUAACGUCGAGCCUGGUCAGUAACUCGAUGGGUGACCUCUUGGGGAUACCAGGA